AUUGAUAUAUACGCUAUUAUACGCGCGUAUAAACCGUUGAUUAUGCUAAUAAGAAUUCCAUAGAAUAUGUAAUUUGAUAUGCUGGAAUCCCUCGCUUCUGUUCGCCUUGUUAUUAUUAGGUUGUCCGAAAAAUGUCUUUCUUUCGCAAACGUGUUUUUUACAACAAUGCAAACUUCAUACAAAUGUGAAACCAAGUCUGUGAAAUGUCGCGAUGUUUAUCUCAACAGAACAAAAUGGAUCGUACGUAAUUCGGCAAAAUAAUAUAAAAGAAAAAACGUUGUGUGAUUAUUAUUUCCUCAUAAAACGAAAGAAACUUUUCGAACAAUCUAAUACGUAGCGAAUAUUCGAGCAGAGAUAUAAAUUGUAAACGAUAACGUUAUCGCCAUUGGCCUUUGAGAGACUAAAAAACAAAGGAUCAAAACUGUAUUUAUCAGAAGACCAUCCUGCUCGAGUCACCUGUCCGGAUCUAUAAUUUCAAUAAGGUGUAAGUGAUACGAAAAGUACGAUCGGGAUUGAAGAGGCCAUAAAGGCGUAAAUCUCGCAGUGAUCGGUAGUCAAUCUUCGGUAGUAUGCAAAUAUGGUGCACGGUUAAGUGCAUGACGGUGCAAAUUCACGUAGAGGUCAACGUGUCUCGGCGUCACUUCAUUGCUGAAACCAGCAGAAUUUAUUACGAUUGAAUUUAAUAUUUACUCUACUAACUUCGAAGCACUGGUUCAACCUAUCGCAACGAACACCGACACUGCG